rnacentral:lncRNA from 1 species
CGGCGGUGUACGUACAUGGUGAAGUGUGGUUGAGUCAUGUACUGCACUUUGUGAGCACGGCAGAUUUAAGAGAAGUGGAUCCCACCAGAAUCUCAGGCACUUCAGUAUCGAAUCACCCACACAAAGUCAACGCCCUGCUAAUGUUCACGUUCAUCUUAUAGAUCAACAGCCACCACUAGCCCAUCUGUGUGCGGAGAACAUGAAGACGGGGAAACACCACUAAAGGAAACCAGAAACAGAUUUUUGUGACUGAAGAAACAAUGGGGAGGUCGCGUGACUAAGACCACAGACUGACUGGAAGUGACUCUCACGCCCUCAGCACUAGAACUGACACUAGAAGCCUCCAGAAAGCCAGAGAGAAUCUUUUCCCAGGCAUGGCUCGACCUGCAAACACGACUUAUUUCUUCCACAAAUUAAAGCUAAGGGCGGAGCUCUUGCAUCCUGAGCCGUUUAGCUUCCUGUGGCUAGGAGUUAGCAAGCCUCAUGGUUACGGAGUCUGUGGGACUGUGUAAGCGGAGCUAACUCUGCCAGGAGGAACGAGAGUAUCUUGACCAUAUUUGUA